rnacentral:rRNA from 1 species
UCAAAUGAAUUUAUAUAAGUUAAUAUUCCCGAAUUCUUAAGAGCUAAAAAAUUAUAUAUUUUAAUGUGAAAUAAUUAUUUAUAAUAUUUUUUUUGUAAUUAUAUGUUAGUCGGGUAAGAAUAUAUCUGGUUUUUUAAGAAAUUAAUUUAAUUAAGCCUAUUAAGAAAAUUUUAUUUAUUUUUAAAUUAUUUUUUUAUAAUAGCGUAAUAAUUUGAGGGAUAAGCUUUAAAUUAGAUUUUUAAAAUAUUGAUAGUUGUUGAUAAUAUAUAGGAUUAGAAGUGUUCAAUAUUUAAAGUGUGUUAUUACAAAUUAUUUAUUUAUUUGAUUUAUUAUUUAUUUAAAUAUUAUAUUGAAAUUAUAAGUUUAUUAAAUUAUCUUAUGUAAUAAUGAUAAAAUUAGUAUAAUAAUUUGUUAAAAAGAAAUUUUGAUUUUAAGGUUAAUUAAAGGAACUCGGCAAAAUUAAAUUUUCUGCCUGUUUAAUAAAAACAUGGCCUUUUGAUAAUAAUUUAAGGUCUGACCUGCCCAAUGAUUUUUUUAAUGGCCGCGGUAUUUUGACCGUGCAAAGGUAGCAUAAUCAUUAGUUUUUUAAUUGAAAGCUGGAAUGAAUGGUUGGACAAGAAAAUUUCUGUCUCUGGUUGAUUUUUUAGAAUUUUAUUUUUUAGUAAGAAAGCUUAAAUUUUUUUAAGGGACGAGAAGACCCUAUAGAAUUUUAUAUAUAUAUAGGUUUUCAAUUUUUAGAAUAAUUAUUUUGUGAUUUAUUGUAUAUAUUUUGUUGGGGUGAUAGAAAAAUUUAAAUAACUUUUUUUUUGUUUUAGUCAUUAAUUAAUGAAUAUUUGAUCCAUUUAUUGUGAUUAUAAGAUUAAAUUACCUUAGGGAUAACAGCGUAAUUAGUUUGGAGAGUUCUAAUCGAUAAAUUAGUUUGCGACCUCGAUGUUGGAUUAAAAUUAACUAUUAGUGCAGCAGCUAAUUGGUUGAGUCUGUUCGACUUUUAAAAUUUU